rnacentral:lncRNA from 10 species
AUAGAAGUUAUCUGGAAACGAAAAACAAAAAGUUGCCAGGUAGAAACGCGGUUUCACCCUGUCAGCCUGGAUGGCCUCGAUAUCCUGACCUCAUGAUCCACCCGCCUCAGCCUCCCAAAGUGCUGGGAUUACAGGCGUGAGCCACCCUGCCCAGCCUUUUCAAAGCCUUUAAUAAGAAAAUGUUUCCUUGACAGAAAGCCUGGAAUCUACCUUUCUUAGACUCACUUACUAGCAGUUACUGGUUUAGGUUUUGCCAGUGAGAAACUCGUGUGUGAGACUUGGAAGGUGAACAAGAAGAAGAAGCCAUUGAUCUUCAGUGGGAGCUGCAGGCAGCUAUAUGGGCAUUGGAGAUGGCAGGCCCUCCCUACACAGAAAAAAAGAUGGCAAUCAGCAGCUCAAACUCAGAUCCUACUAUGAUGGCAAUGGCAUAAAGAUUGAGCUUUGCUCCUAAUCACUUUUAAGAAGGUCUAAGUAAGACUUCAAGUGACUUAGCUGUGUCCCAUAUGCAGCCUUCAGUCAUUUGCUGUAACUGGCUGAACAGAAUACUCUGACUAGGCCUGACUCACGAGUCUCCCCAGGAAGCACAGAGAGCAGGUAUCCACUUCCCUGCAACUGCAUAGCCUGAAUGGCACUGCUUCCACCGAAUCUCAACCCUGUGAACUAAAUUGCAUGGUGUCCACUUCACCCCAGCCACAAAGACUGAAUACCUUUAUGUCCACCUUACUCCAACCAUAUGGACGGAACAGGAAUCUUAUGAGGUGAACACAUGUUAAGUACUGUCAGUAGAGGAUGCAGGAGAGACAUUGAGAGAGGAUGAAGGAUUCUUCUAAUUCUGUACACCUGCCAAAGUCUCACCUCAGCUGCCUGCCUAGAAAGGCUGCUUCCCAUGACCCUCUCUACCUGAAGACCACAUGUUCUAAUUCUCAUGCAAAAGCCCCAUCCUCACUCCCUCUUUAUACAUUCACUUAUGAACUGUGGCUCUCUGCCACCUCAUUUCCUGCUUGCCCAGCGACCAUGGACCAGCUCUGAUCUGAGUGUCCUAGGAAACUUCUCUGGAGGUUGCAACUACACCUUCUCCAACAAGACCUGAACCCCACCUUGGAAUCCCCACUUCAACCUUGUCCUUCAUUGCAUCAUUUCCCUGAGCCCUAGGCUAACCAGCAGAGUUCUCUUUACAUCCUUAUAUUUACUUCCCUGCCAUAUUUAAUAAUUCUUUACAUUAAAAAGUUCCUGUUCAAAUUACUAUGAUUUCUUUUUCCUGAUUGAAUUUAGAUGGAUAUAUCCUCUUCAUAAUAAAUUCCAUUUCUCUUGGACUAAUUUGAAUGAAUGUCUGUUUCUUUUGAUCACGAAAACUGGCUACAAAUAGGCAGGACACAACAACUGAGUUUCCUCUGUUUGAGAUUCUUGCCCUUGUCCUUUGACUCUCACAGAAUUUUAUGAAAUUGACCUCAGUGCCUACAACUGACUGCACAUGACAAAAUGCAGAACACUUAGAUUUGAUGAACACAAGGCUUGACAUAUUUGUCAAUAGUACCAGGAAUAGUUUUGCAUACUAUAAUAUUUAACAGCCACAGGAGAA